AUUGAACGCUGGCGGCAGGCCUAACACAUGCAAGUCGAGCGGGAACUUCGGUUCUAGCGGCGGACGGGUGAGUAAUGCGUAGGAAGCUACCCGACAGAGGGGGAUACCAGUUGGAAACGACUGUUAAUACCGCAUAAUGUCUACGGACCAAAGUGUGGGACCUUCGGGCCACAUGCUGUCGGAUGCGCCUACGUGGGAUUAGCUAGUUGGUGAGGUAACGGCUCACCAAGGCGACGAUCCCUAGCUGGUUUGAGAGGAUGAUCAGCCACACUGGAACUGAGACACGGUCCAGACUCCUACGGGAGGCAGCAGUGGGGAAUAUUGGACAAUGGGCGAAAGCCUGAUCCAGCCAUGCCGCGUGUGUGAAGAAGGCCUUCGGGUUGUAAAGCACUUUCAGUAGGGAGGAAGAGUUGAGUGUUAAUAGUACUCAGCUUUGACGUUACCUACAGAAGAAGCACCGGCUAACUCUGUGCCAGCAGCCGCGGUAAUAC
rnacentral:rRNA from 1 species